GGCACAAUGAUUGGCGAGAAUUGGAGAAUAUUUGAAAAGUGACGGAUAGUUAGGCUACAUGGUAAGUUAAUUUGCCUACAGACUAAACUAGAAAUCGAGUCAAACGUUAAAAACUGGUUAACUGCUGGUUAAGUCAUGAACCCUUGUGGUGUCAUUAAAACCGACCAAACACAGAAAACGCUAUGACAACAAUUUACUGUAACUUUUGGCCCAUAUCCACCAUACUAACAGAAGAGUGCGGAAGAUAAAUGACUGAACCGUGCCAGAGGGACCACAGCUCGCCGAACACAGGCACCCUAAAUUCAUUACACCAAUUUCCUCUUGUCCUGCUCUCCAAAAGAGAAUGAGAGGGAGAAUAAAGGAAUGAAGAUGAAGAGAAACAGUCAGAUGGUCUUUGUAAAUGAGGGGGAAAAGGAAAAAAGAAAGAACAGAUGCGAGAAGGAGCAUUUGGACUUGAGUGCAUUCAAAAGAAAAGCUGGUUUAAUAUUUAGUUGGAAUGAAUAUAUAUAUUAAUUUUUCCCUGAAUGGAUGUAAACUAAUGUAUUGGGAAAGAAAAGAUGUAUUUAUCAUAAUUUGAAUAAUUAGCAAUAAGAACAAAAUAUUUUAAACAAAAAUAUAUACCCUUUUUCUUUUAAUUUCUGUAAAAUUAAAUUCCAUGAGUCAUAAACUAAAAGGUAAAAAAAAGAAAGAAAAUGGUAAAGACAACAUGAAAUCACUGAUAAUGUGUACAUGGACUUAUUGUGCAUGAUCCAUCAAUGCAUGUAUAAUGUAUUUCCCACUGAAUAUGUUGGAAAUUAAUCAAAUCAAAAACUGUGUUGUAUGUGUGUCUUUAGAAUCAACUGUAAAAUCAUAGACAGGCAGGAUAUAAGUUUAGAGUAGUCUCAUAUUUGCUGUUAGUCCUUUGACUCUGGUCCCUUUUUGUUGGUUCUGACCCGCACAGCAGUGGGAUCUGCUUCCAGUAACCUGCCCUUGUUCCUGAGGCUCCUCUAUGAGUCAGAUGAUUUCUUUUACUCUCACUGGUUCCUUUGCCUUGGAUCUCAGAGCUUCCUGUCUUCCUGUGACCUGGAGAUCCAUCUCUUGCUCUCUGUAUUGUUUGUUCUGCCCAUCUGUCAUUCUGUGUAUCAUUCUGUCUGUGUUAAGUAUU
ensembl:lncRNA